GGCCAUGGCUCUGUGGUUGUGCAUCUGUUUAGCAUGCAGAAGGUCCCAGGUUCAAUCCCCGGCAGCUCCC
rnacentral:tRNA from 1 species